AACACUGUUAACCUGCGGUACCUGCGGAGGGAUCAUUACAGAGUUGCAAAACUCCCUAAACCAUUGUGAACGUUACCUAAACCGUUGCUUCGGCGGGCGGCCCGGGUCCUUCCCGGCGCCCAUCGGCCCUCGCGGGCGCCCGCCGGAGGUAAACCAAACUAUUGCAUUGUAUGGCCUCUCUGAGUCUUCUGUACUGAAUAAGUCGAAACUUUCAACAAUGGAUCUCAGAUCGGAAGAGCA
rnacentral:misc_RNA from 1 species